rnacentral:misc_RNA from 1 species
AGAGAAUGACAUAUGUUAUUGAUCACCAAUUUGUUGUCAUAUAAAAAAAUUAUACAUAUAUAUAUAUAAACAAAUACUUUUUAUUUAAUCCAAAACAGAAUGACUUUCACAGACUGGGAAAAAAUUAAAAAAGAAGCAGGAUUUACCUAAAUCAAAUUAUGAAUAGUGAUGACCAGCUGAAAUUAGCUUGAUUGUUUUCAGGAAAAAAGCAUUUAGAAUUGGUAUCAAAUUGGAUGAGAAGAAUGAGAGAAGGUAUUUUCCACACUUAAUUCUCUUACGCAUCAAUGUGAUAAAAGAAAAAACUAAAAGAAAUGAAAGCUAACAGUUUCAUUUAUAAAUAGACAUAGAUUGUUCAUAAGUUUCAUGAUACAAAUUAAUAACUAUGCAUGGCUA